rnacentral:rRNA from 1 species
UACAGAGGUGGCAAGCGUUGUUCGGAAUUACUGGGCGUAAAGCGUGUGUAGGUGGUAAGAUAAGUUAGAUGUGAAAUCCCCGGGCUUAACCUGGGAACUGCGUUUAAAACUGUCUAACUAGAGUACUGUAGAGGAUAGUGGAAUUUCCAGUGUAGCGGUGAAAUGCGUAGAUAUUGGAAGGAACACCAGUGGCGAAGGCGACUAUCUGGAUAGAUACUGACACUGAGACACGAAAGCGUGGGGAGCAAACAGG